rnacentral:rRNA from 1 species
AUUGAACGCUGGCGGCAUGCCUAACACAUGCAAGUCGAACGGGAGUAGCAAUACUCCAGUGGCGGACGGGUGAGGAAUACGUAGGGAUUUGCCCUUAAGUGGGGGAUAGUCCAGGGAAACUUGGUUUAAUACCGCAUGAUCUCGAAAGAGCAAAGCAGGGGAUCGCAAGACCUUGCGCUUUUGGAGGAACCUACGUCUGAUUAGCUAGUUGGUGAGGUAACGGCUCACCAAGGCGACGAUCAGUAACUGGUCUGAGAGGAUGAUCAGUCACACCGGA